rnacentral:rRNA from 1 species
UACGUAGGGUGCAAGCGUUAAUCGGAAUUACUGGGCGUAAAGCGUGCGUAGGCGGUUUUGUAAGUCUGUCGUGAAAUCCCCGGGCUCAACCUGGGAAUUGCGAUGGAGACUGCAAGGCUUGAAUCUGGCAGAGGGGGGUAGAAUUCCACGUGUAGCAGUGAAAUGCGUAGAGAUGUGGAGGAACACCGAUGGCGAAGGCAGCCCCCUGGGUCAAGAUUGACGCUCAUGCACGAAAGCGUGGGGAGCAAACAGG